UCUUUCGUGUCCUUCUUGUCUCUGUGUCGUCGUUUUGUUCUCGCGCUAUAACUAUCGUCAUGCCUUUUUCUGCGUUGCUAAAUCGCGCUUCGCGUCUUUAAUUAUCGCCAGGUGACCUAACUGGCCUCGACUGGCAAAAACAACGUCAAUCAAGUAAGGUAUGCAUCGUUUAUUGCGAGUGUCCAAGCCGGUACAACCAAUGUAUACGGUCAGGUCUGAACAAGACAAGUCACUCAUACAUAUCGAAAUGUUUCAACCCAUGUGUAAUGACCGGCCUGCUGAGAAUGCAGCGAACAUGUAUGCUCAAGGAACAGUUAUGAGGUUACCUUCACGACCAAAAUCUACCAUCCGAACGUUAGCGACGAGGGUGACAUCUCUCUUGGCAAACUGCACUGAAACUGGUCGCCGCAGACGACAGUGGGCCGACUGCUGCUCUCCAUCUGUUGCCUGCUACGCGAGCCAGACCUCCAGGCUGCCGUCAACGAAGAUGUGGGCAUUUACUACGCGCAAGAAAUUCGCGUGUUCCACGCAAUCAACAAGCAGUGGACCUAUAUGCACGCGUUUUAAGGUCUUUGUAGCUGGAGCCAUCGGUUUGUAAUGAUACCGUCUCACCCUGGCUUUAGUAGGUGAUAAGCGGGACAAGUCUCGAAGACGUGCCCUCCGACAUCGGGGUCGCCGCUAUGUAAUCUCGAAAGCGAUGUAUUGUGUAUGCUGUCUUGGCGGCAAGCUUUGCACGUAGUCUGGUUUAUCGGGGUAAAAUGUGUCUUGUGAACGUUUUUUUUCCCUGGUCGACAGUAUAAGUUCUAUGCUGAGAUGA